rnacentral:lncRNA from 1 species
AUGGAAAAAUGCGUUCCAAGUGACAAUCGAUUUAAAACAGAAUGCUUAGAACACAGCCUUUUUGUUGCUGGAGGACUGCUGGUAAUUGUUUCUUCACACGUAGAGAUUAAGUUGAAGUCUUUUAAAAAUGCAUCUAGUAUAAAGAACGGGAACAAGGAAAAAGCAGGUGGUGUUUCUUGCAUUUUUGGGAAAUCUCUGAGGGAGAAGAAAUCCAGAAGCUCUAGCGGAGGUGACUCCGUGGUUUUCAAUCCGUCAGGUCCAGUUUUUCCUUGCUGGUCCGCUGGCUUCGCCCCUGCAUCCUGUGUGUCUCUGCCAUCUCGAAAGUGUGGAGGCCGCCUCCUCCCCUGCACAAGAGGGCGCUGGGUUUCCUGGGACCGGACGCAACUAGCGCUGAGGGACCCGACGAAACACGACAUGACCACUAGAGGGAAGCAGUGAGCUCCUUAUGCUUCAUUCUUCGUGAGAUUCAAAUUUGUGUUUGUUUAUGAUGUCAUCAUUUUAAAGAUGCCUUUACCUAAAAGACGUACUUGAUCGUGCAUAUGGUCCCAGAGAAGAUGUGCUGUGCAAACCAUGGGGCCACACUUCUGCUCAGCAUUUUCAUCUCCUCAGGGCUGGUCUGACAUCAGCAGGUGGCUUUGCGGGAAGCCUCAGGUACAGCUGACCUGGUAGAAAAGGCAUUUUCUACGGCUCAGUCUACCCAUAAUAUUUUCCAGGAUGUAUUAAAGCCAUUGAAAUUUCCCCUGUUUCAAGAAUUCAUGUCGAUCACAAACAGCUGCAAAAUAUCUGAUUCGUGUCAUUUCUUUUUUGAGGAAGCUGGAGUUAAAUACAGAAUAUAGAAAGGCAAGAGGAGGGCACAAGUCUCAAGUACCCUCUUUUGUACACGGGGCUAAGAACGCAUUGCUUGAAUGGAUACACUUAGGUUUUCAUACAAAUAGUAGUGGAGAGGUUCAAGAUGUUCUUCAAUAUGGAAUAAUAAACAGUAUUUUAAAAAAUGAUGCCGAGGGCUA